ACACUCCUACGGGAGGCAGCAGUGAGGAAUAUUGGACAAUGGGUGGAAGCCUGAUCCAGCCAUCCCGCGUGCAGGAAGACGGCCCUAUGGGUUGUAAACUGCUUUUAUCUGGGGAUAAACCUACUUACGUGUAAGUAGCUGAAGGUACCAGAAGAAUAAGCACCGGCUAACUCCGUGCCAGCAGCCGCGGUAAUACGGAGGGUGCAAGCGUUAUCCGGAUUUAUUGGGUUUAAAGGGUCCGUAGGCGGACUGAUAAGUCAGUGGUGAAAUCCGACAGCUUAACUGUCGAACUGCCAUUGAUACUGUUAGUCUUGAGUAAGGUUGAAGUGGCUGGAAUAAGUAGUGUAGCGGUGAAAUGCAUAGAUAUUACUUAGAACACCAAUUGCGAAGGCAGGUCACUAAGUCUUAACUGACGCUGAUGGACGAAAGCGUGGGGAGCGAACAGGAUUAGAAACCCCGGUAGUCCC
rnacentral:rRNA from 1 species